GACGAACGCUGGCGGCGUGCUUAACACAUGCAAGUCGAACGAUGAAGCCUAGCUUGCUAGGUGGAUUAGUGGCGAACGGGUGAGUAAUACGUGAGUAACCUACCUUUAACUCUGGGAUAGGCCUGGGAAACUGGGUCUAAUACCGGAUACGACCAAUCUCCGCAUGGGGUGUUGGUGGAAAGCGUUAUGUAGUGGUUAUAGAUGGGCUCACGGCCUAUCAGCUUGUUGGUGAGGUAACGGCUCACCAAGGCGACGACGGGUAGCCGGCCUGAGAGGGUGACCGGCCACACUGGGACUGAGACACGGCCCAGACUCCUACGGGAGGCAGCAGUGGGGAAUAUUGCACAAUGGGCGCAAGCCUGAUGCAGCGACGCCGCGUGAGGGAUGACGGCCUUCGGGUUGUAAACCUCUGUUAGCAGGGAAGAAGAGAAAUUGACGGUACCUGCAGAGAAAGCGCCGGCUAACUACGUG
rnacentral:rRNA from 1 species